AUUGAACGCUGGCGGCAUGCUUUACACAUGCAAGUCGAACGGCAGCACGGGCUUCGGCCUGGCGGCGAGUGGCGAACGGGUGAGUAAUACAUCGGAACGUGCCCAGUAGUGGGGGAUAGCUCGGCGAAAGCCGGAUUAAUACCGCAUACGACCUGAGGGUGAAAGCGGGGGAUCUUCGGACCUCGCGCUAUUGGAGCGGCCGAUGGCAGAUUAGCUAGUUGGUGGGGUAAAGGCCUACCAAGGCGACUAUCUGUAGCUGGUCUGAGAGGACGACCAGCCACACUGGGACUGAGACACGGCCCAGACUCCUACGGGAGGCAGCAGUGGGGAAUUUGAGACAAUGGGCGAAAGCCUGAUCCAGCAAUGCCGCGUGUGUGAUGAAGGCCUUCGGGUUGUAAAGCACUUUUGGCGGGAACGAAAAGGACUGUGCCAAUACCACGGUUCGAUGACGGUACCCGCAGAAUAAGCACCGGCUAACUACGUG
rnacentral:rRNA from 1 species